ACUCCUACGGGAGGCAGCAGUGGGGAAUAUUGCACAAUGGGGGAAACCCUGAUGCAGCCAUGCCGCGUGUGUGAAGAAGGCCUUGGGUUGUAAAGCACUUUCAGUAGGGAGGAAGGUAGUGUAGUUAACACCUGCAUUAUUUGUACGUUACCUACAGAAGAAGCACCGGCUAACUCCGUGCCAGCAGCCGCGGUAAGUACGGAGGGGCAAGCGUUAUCCGGAAUCACUGGGCGUAAAGGGUGCGUUAGGCGGUUUUCAAGUCAGAAGUGAAAGGCUAUGGCUCAACCAUAGUAAGCUUUUGAAACUGUUAAACUUGAGUGCAGGAGAGGAAAGUGGAAUUCCUAGUGUAGAGGUGAAAUUCGUAGAUAUUAGGAGGAACACCAGUGGCGAAGGCGACUUUCUGGACUGUAACUGACGCUGAGGCGACGAAAGCGUGGGAGCGAACAGGAUUAGAUA
rnacentral:rRNA from 1 species